rnacentral:rRNA from 1 species
AGAGUUUGAUCCUGGCUCAGGACGAACGUUGGCGGCGCGCUUAAUGCAUGCAAGUCGAGGGAGAAGCGUUGGUUCCGUAAGGUUCCGACGUGGAAACCGGCGAACGGGUGCGUAACACGUGAGAAACCUGCCCCCCAGACCGGGAUAGCCCAGGGAAACUUGGAUUAAUACCGGAUACUCUCUCGGGACCGCAUGGUCCCUUGAGGAAAUGGUCCGCUGCUGGGGGAUGGUCUCGCGGCCUAUCAGGUUGUUGGUGAGGUAACGGCUCACCAAGCCGAAGACGGGUAGCUGGUCUGAGAGGACGAUCAGCCACACUGGAACUGAGACACGGUCCAGACUCCUACGGGAGGCAGCAGCAGGGAAUAUUGCACAAUGGGCGAAAGCCUGAUGCAGCGACGCCGCGUGCGGGAUGAAGGCCUUCGGGUUGUAAACCGCUUUCAGGAGGGAAGAAACUGACGGUACCUCCAGAAGAAGCUCCGGCCAACUACGUGCCAGCAGCCGCGGUAAUACGUAGGGAGCGAACGUUGUCCGGAAUUAUUGGGCGUAAAGGGCUCGUAGGCGGUUCAACAAGUCGGUCGUGAAAGCCCGGGGCUCAACCCCGGGACGCCGGUCGAAACUGUUGUGACUUGAGUUCGGUAGAGGUGAGUGGAAUUCUCAGUGUAGCGGUGGAAUGCGCAGAUAUUGAGAGGAACACCAUUAGCGAAGGCGGCUCACUGGGCCGAUACUGACGCCGAGGAGCGAAAGCGUGGGGAGCAAACAGGAUUAGAUACCCUGGUAGUCCACGCCGUAAACGAUGAACACUAGGUGUAGCGGACCGAUUCACGUCUGCUGCGCCGUAGCUAACGCAUUAAGUGUUCCGCCUGGGGAGUACGGCCGCAAGGCUAAAACUCAAAGGAAUUGACGGGGCCCCGCACAAGCGGCGGAGCAUGCGGCUUAAUUCGAUGCAACCCGAAGAACCUUACCUGGGUUUGACAUCAUGGGUCUAGCUGUGGAAACACAGUGUGCUUACGCGCCCAUGACAGGUGGUGCAUGGCUGUCGUC